CGGGGGGGGGGGGGCUGAGCCUGAGCCUGAGCCGGGGGAUCGCACUGCCCGCCCCGCCUCCUGGGGCGCCCAGGUCACCUCUGCACCCACGCAGCAAGAGCCUGCGCCCCCAGAGGUGAACCGCGCCUGACAGGGAGGCCCGUGUCUGGACACUGAAGACCCAGUCCGGAGCACGCUCUGCCUCCCUGGUUCCCGGGCAGCAGUCCCGAGAGCUGGACGCCCCACCCGCACCCUAAACGGCUGGGGCUCGGAGGAGGGGCAGGGAGGUUGGAGAGCUGGGGCCGCAGCCUGGGCUGCUCUGCAAAGUGAAGGCCCCCCCCACUUCAGGCAGGGUCUUGCUAUGUAGCCCAGGCUGGCCUUGAACUCAUACCGAUCCGUCUCCCUCAGUCUCCCAAGUGCUGGGAUCGUAGGUAUGCAGCGCUGCAUCCUGCCCACAUUUAUCCUUAGCCCUCCUAGCUCCAGGCGGGGAACAACCUCACAUUGCCAUCUCCCUGCUCGUCUUAUUCCUUUUGUUUCUGAAAACACUGUCCAGGUUGUCAAAAGGGACUCGCCAUCUCCUGUAGGCUCAGCGGGGCAGGGCCGGGGCUCCAGGCUCCCUGCCCUGCUCUAGGAAGGGCAGAAAGCAGAAGGACACACACGGCAUCUCCAGAGGCUGGAGCUCCUGGGCCUUCACGUCGUGCAGGAGAGAGAAGAAAAGAGGGAGCAAGGCCCAGCAGGGACAGAGUAAAAGACCUUGGGAAGACACUGCAAUAGCAGACCCACUGCCAAGUCCUGCCUCUCCAGCCAGAGGCAGCAGGCGGGGUGCGGAUCAGCUGCACUACUGAGUCAAAAGCAGAGGCCAGACAUGGUGGCCCACACCUGUGAUCCCAGGACUGGGAAGGCUGAGGCAGGAGAAUCGCUGUGAGUUCAGGGUCAGCCUGGGCUACAUAGUGAGACCCUGUCUCAAAAUUAAAAUAAUUUUAAAAAGCAACAGAGCACCAGAAGUCUCAAGAAGACAUAGAUGGGGGUUCAGGGCAGAGACCAGGGGCUCGAGGUCACAGAGGGCCAUGAGGAGUGCCUUUGCUCUUGGAGCAACCCCAGCACUCCAAAGCCAAACCCCAAAUCCCAGGGUGAACUAAAAGACAGGACAGGAACUCCGAGGGGGGUGUCUCUCUGGCCCCCAACCCUUGCCAUGUUCAGUCUUUUAACAUAAUUAUGCUUCUAACUCUAUGGGGUGGGGCAGAUCCCAGCCUGAGCCCUUGCUGUAAACCCCACCUGUCUGCCAGCCCUGCUGUGAUUCCAACCACCCACUCCUGGGUCUGUUUCUUUUCUUCCCCCCCGACUCUGGGGAUCGAACUCACGACCUUGAGCUUUCGAGGCAAGCGCGGCACCACUGAACAUCCCCGUUUCUGAUCGGAGGCAUCACGGACUUAGCUAACUCCUAAGUACCAGGAGGUACAGCACCGGCAGCGUGACGUAGGCCAGCAGCUCCCACAGCUUCCCCGUCAGCAGCAUCCACAGCACGCGGUCCUCUGCCUCCAGAUCCACCCAGCACCAGCCCACCGACACAUCGGAGGCGUCGUAGCCGAUCUUCUUGAGGGCAACAGCCACCACGGUGAUGGUCAUCGGUAUGCCCCAGCUGAGGAGCGACAGGAAGAGGGACGUGCUGAGGUUGGGCCAUUGCGUGAAUUGAGGGGUGUGCUGAGCCCAGCUGGGAGGACGGGGUGGGGGGGGUCGGGUGUUUUCAGCUAAGGCGCUGCUCAGGGGUGUGGCGUAGUCAACUGAGCUGAGGGGGGCCCUCGGGCCACCUUGCUAUCUGGGGACCAGAAGCUGCUGAGGAGGAGAGAGGUAGCAGCAGCGAGGGAGGAGGAGGAAGAUCCAGCAACCUUGCAGAGCAGGCUGGACCGGAGUCACCUGCUUGUGGACAUAGACAGGGAUGACUGGUCAUGUUUCACACCUGGCUAAUCAGAGAAAAUGAGUGUAUGUGUGUUUGCAUGCAUGUACAUGCACUCUAAAGUUUUAAAAGCAUUUAUUUAUUUAUUUAUCAAUUUGAGGUUCUUGCGAUGUAGCCUAGCCUGGCCUUGAACUCAUGGCGAUCCUCCUGCCUCAGCCUCCCAAGUGCUGGGAUUACAGUCCUGUGCCACCACGCUCGGCAUAUACUACAGACUUAUCCUGCAUUUCACUGAUAUCAAGGAUGGGAAGCACACGUCUCUAAGCAACAACAAACUACAGAGCUCUGGCUGGUCCUCAGGAUGCCGCUCAUUUGUGCUGGACCCUGGUGUCCACAGGGACCUGUGGUUGAGCUCAGCAGAGGCCAGCAAUCCCGUUCCUCGGCUGGUCCAGCUUCCUCUCUCCUUAACGCAGGGAUGGAACGGAAAUGCAGGAAACCCGGAAUCAGACACAUGCUGGACACCACCUGGGCCACCGGGCAGCUGUUUUGCUUAGUUGGGGAUGAGUUUCCAUGCUGGGAAAACACUUCCUCUCCCCUGCCCCUCUCUAUUUUUAGGGGUCUCUGGGAAAUAAACCCAAGGCCUCGUAUAUCCCAGGCAGCUCUACUGCUGAGUUGUAUCCUCAGCCCUUUAAUUUUACUUGGAGACAGGGUCUGCUGAGUAGCUUAGACUGGGCUCAAAUUUUCCAUCCUCCUGCCCCAGCCUCCUGAGCAGCUGAGAUUACAGACCAAGAAAUACCAAGCAUGGUGUGCUCGGCUCACCAUCAUUUUAUUUAUUUUAUUUUAUAAUACUUAGACUAGAGUACGGGUUCAGCAAACUGUAGCCCUCAGGCCAAAUCAAGCCCAAGGUCUGUUUUUUGUUGUUGCUGUUUUGUUUUUAAUUAAUUUUUCUUUUUGGUACCAUAGAUUGAACUCGGGACCUUGUGCUUGCAAUGCAGGUGGCGGCACCACUGAGCUAAAUCCCUGGCCCCAUAAUUAAUUAUUAUUUUCUGGUUUUGGUUUUUUCGUUUGAGACAAGAGUCGCACUCUGAAGAACACUACAGAGGGUCUCCCUGCAUACUCCAGGCUGGACUUGAACUCACUGUACGGCCCAGGCUGGCCUCAAAUUCGAAGGAACCCAUGUGCUCCAGCCUCCCAAGUUCUGGGAUCACAGGCGUGCACCAUCAGGCCCUCCCACGGCAGAUGUUUUACAAUAAAGUUUUAUUGCCACCCAGCUACCGCUCUCAUUGCCCAAGGCUGUUGCAGUGGAG